rnacentral:miRNA from 1 species
UCACUUUUUAGUGACUUGGUC